AAAUUUUAAAUAGUAACAAUAAUGACAAGAUGAUAACAUAUCCAAUUCUUAGCAAUCACCUCAAGGAAAGUUUAAUUAUGUGACUGGAAGUUCUUCCUCUCUCAAUCAAUGCAACAGGUGAAAACAGGCACUUGCCAUAACCAAAAGGAUUUCCUUCUGGAGAAAAUGUGAUGUGAGCAUAUCUAAAAGUAUGUUUUGGAAUUUUUAUGGGAAGGAGAUAGGAUGAAAGUAAUGGAAAGGGUGAGGAGGGGAGGGGGGUGACAAAAAGCUAAGGUUAGAAAUUAAAAAACAAUGCAAAAACUUAUAAAAACAAUCCCCUCCCCUUUCAAACUACCCAAUUAGGAAGUUGAGAAGUGGAAACGAAUCUACCCUCCACUCCCAAACAAGAAAAAUUUUUAAAAAUACAAAUCCUAAAUGUGAUAACCAUGUUGUCCUCUCCUCCUUUGUACCUUUCCCCAGAAUCUUCUCCACAAAAACAAAUUGCAAGAUGCUAAUUCAAACAUCUAUUCCAUCCUCCUAAAAAUCCAAAUUACUCCAAUUUGAACAUAAAUAUUAUGAAGUUGAUCUAAAGUAAUUGCAAAAUCUACGGUUCUCCAAAACUCAAUCAUCUAGUGAUAGUAGACAAUGGCCAAAAUGCUGACACCCUCCAAGUAGCAAGUGCAAGAAUUAAGCAAUAGAACUUAGAAUCCACCCUCAAAAUUGAAACACUAACAACUAGUUAUUAGAAACAUGGAGACUUUUACUGAAUGUCAGUAUGAACCAUUUUUACUAAAUGUUGGUAUGAACCAUUGUCACUAAAUGUCAGAAUGAACCAUUGAAAGUUUGACACUGAAAAGUAACUAUCAUCUUAGUUAACUCCCAACUUAACUCAACUAAGCCUUUA
rnacentral:misc_RNA from 1 species